GGAAUAUUGGACAAUGGGCGAAAGCCUGAUCCAGCCAUGCCGCGUGGGUGAAGAAGGCCUUAGGGUUGUAAAUCCCUUUCAGCGGGGAAGAUAAUGACGGUACCCGCAGAAGAAGCCCCGGCUAACCCAGUGCCAGCAGCCGCGGUAAUACGGAGGGGGCUAGCGUUGUUCGGGAGUACUGGGCGUAAAGCGCGCGUAGGCGGACUUUCAAGUCAGGGGUGAAAUCCCGAGGCUCAACCUCGGAACUGCCUUUGAUACUGUAAGUCUUGAGUCCGAGAGAGGUGAGUGGAAUUCCUAGUGUAGAGGUGAAAUUCGUAGAUAUUAGGAAGAACACCAGUGGCGAAGGCGGCUCACUGGCUCGGUACUGACGCUGAGGCGCGAAAGCGUGGGGAGCAAAC
rnacentral:rRNA from 1 species